rnacentral:rRNA from 1 species
ACGGAAGGCAGCAGUGGGGGAUAUUGCACAAUGGGGGAAACCCUGAUGCAGCGACGCCGCGUGAGUGAUGAAGUAUUUCGGUAUGUAAAGCUCUAUCAGCAGGAAAGAUAAUGACGGUACCUGACUAGGAAGCACCGGCUAAAUACGUGCCAGCAGCCGCGGUAAUACGUAUGGUGCAAGCGUUAUCCGGAUUUACUGGGUGUAAAGGGAGCGCAGACGGCAUGGCAAGCCGGAUGUGAAAGGCAGGGGCUCAACUCCUGGACUGCAUUUGGAACUGUCAAGCUAGAGUAUCGGAGAGGUAAGUGGAAUUCCUAGUGUAGCGGUGAAAUGCGUAGAUAUUAGGAGGAACACCAGUGGCGAAGGCGGCUUACUGGACGAUAACUGACGUUGAGGCUCGAAAGCGUGGGGAGCAAACAGGAUUAGAUACCCUGGUA